rnacentral:rRNA from 1 species
AAGAGCCCAAACCAAGAAGCUUGCUUCUUGGGGUUGUAGGACACUCUAUACGGAGUUACAAAAGAAAGUUAUAAAUGAAGCGGUCUGGAAAGGCCCGCCAAAGACGGUAACAGCCCGGUAGUUGAAAUGGCUUUCCCUCCAGAGUGGAUCCUGAGUACGGCGGAACACGUGAAAUUCCGUCGGAAUCCGGGAGGACCAUCUCCCAAGGCUAAAUACUCCCUAGUGACCGAUAGUGAACCAGUACCGUGAGGGAAAGGUGAAAAGCACCCCGGAAGGGGAGUGAAACAGUUCCUGAAACCGUGUGCCUACAAGUAGUUAGAGCCCGUUAAUGGGUGAUAGCGUGCCUUUUGUAGAAUGAACCGGCGAGUUACGAUUUGUUGCAAGGUUAAGCGGAAAAAGCGGAGCCGUAGCGAAAGCGAGUCUGAAUAGGGCGCAUAAGUAACAGGUCGUAGACCCGAAACCAGGUGAUCUACCCAUGUCCAGGAUGAAGGUAAGGUAAUACUUACUGGAGGUCCGAACCCACGCACGUUGAAAAGUGCGGGGAUGAGGUGUGGGUAGCGGAGAAAUUCCAAUCGAACUUGGAGAUAGCUGGUUCUCUCCGAAAUAGCUUUAGGGCUAGCCUCGAGGUAAAGAGUCAUGGAGGUAGAGCACUGUUUGGACUAGGGGCCCUUCUCGGGUUACCGAAUUCAGAUAAACUCCGAAUGCCAUGUACUUAUACUCGGGAGUCAGACUGCGAGUGAUAAGAUCCGUAGUCGAAAGGGAAACAGCCCAGACCACCAGUUAAGGUCCCCAAAUAUAUGUUAAGUGGAAAAGGAUGUGGGGUUGCUUAGACAACCAGGAUGUUGGCUUAGAAGCAGCCACCAUUGAAAGAGUGCGUAAUAGCUCACUGGUCGAGUGACCCCGCGCCGAAAAUGUACCGGGGCUAAACAUAUUA